rnacentral:snoRNA from 12 species
AUGCAAUGAUGUUCAGAAUUUCUUCACCUGAAACUUUCUAUGAUGGUUUUUGAGCUUUUUAACCCUGAGCAUU